GGGGGAUUUGGGGGUGGGGGGGGUGAGGGGGGUGUGGGGAGGGGGGGUGUAGGGUGAGGUGGGGGGGGACGGGGGAGGCGCCAUCUUGGGGAGGUCGCCCCGCGCCUCAGGGAGGAGGGCGGGAAAGGGCUGAGGGGGAGCCGGGCUAGGUGUUCCCUGUCGUGUUUUGCUGUCAAAAAAAAGUGUGUUUUGCUGUCAAAAAAGCGCGGUUUUGGGACAUUCUGGCUCUCUGCUUCCCCACCUUCACCUCCCUCAAACUCUAGUUUCUCAGCCAUGUUGCUGAGCUAAGCCGGGUUUCAAAAUAACUCGAAAUAAUGCAAAAUGACCCCAAACUGCGCUUUCUAAUGUGUGAAAUCUAAUGUUUUCUUGUUGUAUCAGGGCUCAAAGACCUGCACUGGGACCGUGGUCUUGUCAAAGGAAGGUGUCCGUGUACCAGAGCAACCUGUGGUUUCAGCGGGAGCCUGAAGCGUAAAGGACUUGGAACACAGGAAAAAAAGGAAAAAGUAGUACAAAAAAUGGUACAAAAUAGUAAAAAUAGAUAUGUGCGAUUUAUAGCAGGAAGUCUUAAGGAGGGACUUCAGACUGAUGGACCGAAACUGUCAAAUUUAAGACGCGUUCUCCUCAAGUAAAGAAUGGUGUGGAAAGUGCAACGUGGACGGAUGCUCAAGAGAAAAGUUAAUAAAAUCUGGUUUACAGCGGCCUGGAAAGCAAAAUAUUUUCAGUAAUGUUCCUUCCUUAAGGAUCCUAGAUGUACGUUAAGCGCUCCGCUAGAGAGCUGGCAGGUCAAAAAUUCAGUAGGCUUUUAUUUUACAGCAAUCAUGGUUUUAUUUUUGUUGCAUAUACAUUUUUUUUUUUUAAUUUCAGGACGUCAGCCUACCAUCUGUGCCUCAUAGAAACCUCUUCCAUGGAUGCGAUAAAGCAAUUGUAAAUGUAAAGGCAGGAAGUUAUGACCGCGCUACAACCAUCUGAAGAUGCAAGACUACGGAAAGCACAGGGCGAAAACCUCUCCGAGACGUGCCCCCGUCUGCAGAGCCAGCCGAGGCAAUCGGCAUGCGUGUCAGGUCAGCUCGGGAUCGAAUGUCCACUCUGCAGUCACACUCCACUUGUUGCCUCUGCAGUGCCCCUGCGUUUCUCUGGGAGCUCUGCAGCCACGUGCACGCUCUCACAGUGUAUUUUUUUGGGGAAAAAACACCUGUUUUUUGCACCAAUGUCAGCUUAGCCCAUAGACUGGGUUACUCCGCGUUUGGGGUGCUCUGGAUUUCCAUCGUUGGUCUUUCAUAGGUACAAAAUGUGGAUCUGGGCCCAAUGAUGAUUUACACCGGUUGCUGAAAUGAGUGUAGCUUUUGCUCCAGAGCCGUGGAGGGGUCUUGGUGGGGCCUUGCUGUUCCGUGAAGACAGGGUAAUGCCCUGCCAGCGCGGGCAGGCGUAGAGGCAGCUGACACGGACUGUAAUAGCUGUGGAAUUCCCUUGUGCUAAUCAGCAGUUUUGGAACGGGGCCACAAGCACGGAGAGCUGGGCCUGUGCCACCCGAAAGUCCUGGUGUAACCCUGCAGUGGGCUGGAAGGAGGAAGGUCACUUCCCUGGACGUCACAGGAAGGUAGAACCCCAUGAGACACCAAAAAACUUCCUGUAAUGGUAGGAUGGCAGAAUCCUGGAAGGGCUUCCGGAGGUUCUGGAGUCUCCCCUGUUGAAGGUUUUAAGAACAGGUUGGGCAAAUGCUGCUCAGGAAUGCUGUAGGUAGAGUUGCUGCUGCCUCAGGGAGAGGGAUGGCUGACGGUGACGUCCCAGGGUCCCACCUGGCUGCAUAUUUCCCUGGCCACACGUUGCGAAUUGGUUUGGAGUGGGCAGGUGAAGCCGUGGGCUUGUGGAAGUGCGCAUCUGCAGGGCAGUGGCUGAGUGUGCUUGGCUGGGCCUGACACGGGCUCAUUUCUUCUCCCCCCCUCUCAAAGAGCACUCACUUCUGUGAGAAGAAGAGAGCAGGCAGGACCCAAAGCUCUUGCCAGGGAAUGGCGUGGACAUUGAUUUGGGAUGCACCAAAAGGGGCCUCAGGGAGGGAAAUUUUCCCAGUAUGAACAAACUGACGCUGCCUCUUAGGAAAAAUCCUGCAUCAGCACAGUUUCCCCAGGUUCUCGUGGAGAUCCAGCAAAGCCCAGGCUGCCUCGUGUCACAGACCCGUAACCCCACAGGGUGAGGGUUGGCACAAGGCUCACUGCGAGCACAAAUGUGCAUUUUGUCAGCUGAAGGGUCGGGAGCUUGGCUCGCACCCCGUGGGGAUGCCGGGGCUGGUCAGGACACGCCACAUCCAGCACAGAGAAGGAGGGGAGGAGGUUAGCUGGGUAAAGGCAAACGAUGCGUGGUGGGAAAAAGGAGAUCUGGUGACAGGGCAGGGCCAGAAGGCGUAAAUAAUCUUCACAUCCUCGGUUUGGGGAAAGAAAAGGUGGAAUUUAGAACGUGGGGAUGAUGUUAGCAGUCUGCCAGGCAGGUGUGGCUGCUCAGGUGCUGCGAGGCUGUGGGAGAGACAUCGGGGACUCGGUACGGGGUGUUUUAGCCAUCCUCCCUGCCUUUGGCUGGUGAAUUCUGCUCCAGAGCAAAAAAAAACAAACAGAUGAGUAAGAAGAAAGGAUUGCCUAGCAAAGGGUGCAUGGGAAAGUGUGAGGGGACUGGGAGUGCCUGUGGCAGUGAGCUGGGUGGCUUGGAAGUAGCAGCGUACUAGAGAAGAAAAAAUAAGAUGGACGUACGUAGAGAGAAAGAAUAAGAUGGAUUUUAGGGAUCAGGGAGAUGAUGUUUUUGUUAGGGGGUGAGACACGUGCCCCUGCUAGCAUGCUUAGCACAGCUCACAGCCCAGCUCAACCCAAAACAUCGCUCCCAUCAGCUGAGCCCAUGUGGGGAGGAGGGAGAUGAUUUCUCCAAAAAGUGCUUUGGAGUCACAGGGAUAGCUUUAGGACUUGCUGAACACACCGACCUGCUUGUAUCGUGACAGAAGACCUCACGGUGACCGAGAGCCUGAUAUCUCACCGGGUUUGCACAGGAAGGUUGGGCUGUGGUGUGCUGGAGAUGAAGGAGUUGCACGUGGUUGUGCAGCGGAAGACGAGCUCCUGGCAGCAGCUCUGUUCUGAGUCUGCUUCCUACAAAAUGUCCUCGCUGCCUCGGAGUUAACAAAUCUGCUGCUGCCUGCUGGCACUUUCUAGCUGCCUGCGCUUGGAAGGAGGAAACCCAGCCACUGAGCGUCUUGUAUCAUCGGGAGAGAAAAAGCGGAUCCAUCUUUCUUCUUGCCCAUGGAGUUUUCGUGCAUCUCAAGCCCACGGAAGAGAAAAGCAAUUGAUUCACCCACGGUGCUGACAACAAACACCCCGAUGACUUAGCGGUUUUGUAACCGAGCAGUUUUUAAACGUUCACAGUGCAGACUGAGGAGGAAAACUACAGACACAGCUGUGUGGCUCUCUCCUUUUCUCUCUUUUUCAGGUUAAAAAAAAAAAAAAAAAAAAAAAAAAAGAUGCAUCCAUUGCUUUCCUUUAACCUGAGUCUUUGCAGCAGUGGUUGUUCAGUAAUGUGCAAUAAAACAGAUUCGCACGGCUCAUAAAGAGCCAAGCUCAUUUUCAUUACCCCGGGGAGAACAUUGAUAGGGCAAUGUGUUAGUUGUAAGUAGCCUUGAUGGGGCUCUGGAUGCCACAGCUUCUCUGCAGACAGAUGAGGCCAAAGCCGAGUGAUUUUGGGGAAGAUUCCUCUGAAGAAAAGCUCUGUUAAGGCUCCUAGCCACCAAAAUCCACAUGGGUCCAGUCACUCUGGAGAGCUUCUACUGGUAGGGUAGCGGGUUCCUGCAGCAUCACCCUCACAAACACAAAUUCCUGGUCUUUCACCUGAAUAUCCCCUCUGCAGUUUAGCUCUUCACACCUGGAUCUUCAGUUUUGUGCUGCUGUACCAAUGACACUCAGAUAUUUCCAGCUUUUUUUCUCUCCUCCUGCUCCAAAGUAGUUCGGUGAAGUUCUGUGUACACCAAUCUCUCCGUUUUUCUGCGCAGAGCGUGAGGAGCAUCAGAACUCCACUGAUGGAACACGAUGGGUAAGAGUGAAGAGUCUGAAGAUAAUGUGACCAGCCCUGCCCGCUACUAGAGGGAGGCCAGCUCUUCAGGCUUUUUAUUACUUAUUUGGUCUUUUUUUUUUCCCAGAUUGUCAGUUCUUCCAUGAAAAACACACAUCCAGAGCUUUUUUCUCUAUUUCAGGCCAAGUUCCCCAGUAGCCAUCUCAAGACCGGAGCUUCCAGUGUGGCCCCUCUGGGCUGUUUUGCUGUACCCCUGGCUGUAUGGUUUACCCUUUUUUACAGCUCUUUGGCAUCACCACGCAGAGCCAGCUCAUAAUUUCACCUGUGAAAAACCCCAGCAUGGAAAGCAAUCAGGCAGUCAGCAGUUAGUCUCUGUUAGUCUCUCCAGAUGUGCUUUCUUGGGUGGUAAUAAAUGAUUUUAGGACUCUACUGCAUCAUUUUUUGAAAUUCUGUUGAAAUACGCGCCUGGACCAGCAGUGUUCCGGGGCGGCCUCAAGCCUCAGACCAUUUCCAGCAUCUUCCUCAGAUCGUUACCAGCAGGGAAGGGUUAGAGCAGAAGGGAUCUGUGCUAUGGACUCUUGAGACCUCGAUUCUCUCAGCAGCAGAGAAAAGGGUUGCAUGGUGUGAGGAUCUAGAAGGUAACCCAGGCUGGGGCCUCUGAUUCUGCAACAAAACGGUGUCCCAACGUGCAGCAACACAAAUGUUGUAUGACUGGUCCUGGGGACAGCAGCUUUACUUCUCGUGGUUCCUCUUUCGCAGCAUCCAGGAACCAAAAGCAGCCUGGAUUUCGGUCGUGCCUUGCAGCAACCUGCCUUUUCACUUCUCCCAACUAGUGAUUAAUUGUUUCUAUUCUGCCAGUGCCCGGAGUAUUUGGAAAUAAAAGCCAGUAAUGCUGGCUGAGCGCCACGCUCUCAUCUCUAUGAAGCAGCAGGAAUAGUAACAACUAUCGAGAGAGACUGGCACGUCGGAACCCACUUAUGUAUUAUGUAUAGCCUCUCGGUGCCUUUUCCUCGCAGCUAAGCACCAAACUGCAGUCGAUCUUACAGCAGAAAUAGUUAACGGAGAGACAAAGAUGAGGGACUAAAAAAGGAAGAGACGCGCCGGGAACUUUGCUGGCAGGAAGCCUUUUCUCUCCCAUCCCCACAUGCUGCCUGGGGCUUCUUUUUAAAUGAAUUGAUAAAGAUUGUCUUUUAAUCACUUUUUAGGACAGGGUUGGCCUGGUUGUGACUCGAGUAUCAAUGUCUGUGCUAAAGCUUGUCCUGCACCAGCGCUGUGCUGAUGCUGGAGCCCCCGAGAGCCCAGUCCCCAGCUGGAGGACAGAGCCACCAGGGUGGCUGGGGCCAGCACGACCGUGGUGAGUUUGGAGGCAGGAUGGGAUCUCGUUAGACCACUGACAUCUUCCUGGUGCUGGCUGUGGCAUACGGUGCUUCCAAAUAACCUGCUGCUCUGAUGCCUUUCCUACAGGGCUGCAACCUGCUCUUUGUGAGAUGUUCCUCAGGUCCCAUGUGCUUCUCUCAGGGAAAUUAAUUCCCCAAACGGUC